GAAAAUUACAUUUUUUAUCUGAAGAGAGUUGGGAGAAAUGUUCAUAUUGAAACGAGAUAUUGUGUAAAGAGGUUUUCAAAGAAGUCGUUUUAAUAACAAU